rnacentral:rRNA from 1 species
CAUUGUCGAACCCUGCAGAACGACCCGUGAAUUGUUAACAUCGUCACGCGGCGCGCCAUGUAGACCCCUCGCGUGGGGGGUCUUCGUGGCCGCCCGAUCAAACAUCAAACCCCCGGCGCGGUUUGCGCCAAGGAAAUCAAAAUGGAUGGUGCGCAUCUCCUCCACACGGUUGGAUCGUGAGGUGUCGUUAUUCAAAAUAUAAUCUGAACGACUCUCGGCAACGGAUAUCUCGGCUCUCGCAUCGAUGAAGAACGUAGCGAAAUGCGAUACUUGGUGUGAAUUGCAGAAUCCCGUGAACCAUCGAGUCUUUGAACGCAAGUUGCGCCCGAGGCCACCAGGUCGAGGGCACGUCUGCCUGGGCGUCACGCAAAACACCGCCCUCACCCCCCUUCACGCAAGGGCCACGGAUGAGGGCGUACGUUGGCCUCCCGUGAUUCACCGCGCACGGUCGGCUCAAACUUUUUAGGCCCCGGUGGCCAAACGACACGAUCAAUGGUGGUUGAUGAUACCCUUCGCCGCGAUUGGACGACGUGAUCGUGCGGCCACCAGUAAGGGGACAGGACGAACCCUCGGAUCGAGAAUUCCACGACGCGACCUCAGGUCAGGCGGGGCCACCCGCUGAGUUUAAGCAUAUC